GCCAGUGUGGUGUAGUGGUUUAACAAUUGGACUAUGAUUCUGGAGAGCAGCGUUCAAAUCCCUGCUCUGCCA